UCUACGACCAUACCACCCUGAACGCGCCCGAUCUCGGCUGAUCUCAGAAGCUAAGCAGGGUCGGGCCUGGUUAGUACUUGGAUGGGA
rnacentral:rRNA from 1 species